UUUCCCCUUUCACAGCCGUCAUAUUUUUAUGAACUCCUCCUACAGAUUUUUUUUCCGAUCGACUUCAAACUUUGGGUGUCUCAUCUAACGAUAUUGAAGAUGAAAAGUUAUUCAAAGAUUUCCAUAUGGUCUAAUGCUGUUGCUGUGGAACAUGCUGUUCACCACUCUGUUGUGUUGCGCUGCGAAGUGAAAUUAAAAUGAUAUAUGUUUUUACGCAAAUACAAAUCUGAAAAGUGUGGCACGCAUUUCUAUUCAAUUGAUCCACAAUGUGCCAGUACCCCAACGUGGCCAGGGGUGCGAGGGCCCUUAACUCAUUCCCUGCCAAUGCCUUCCAAAGACGUCAUUCAAAAUUAGGCUAUUCCCUGCCAAUGCCGCCUAAAUACGUCAAUGGCGUUUUUUUAACUGGGAUGGAUGAGGGAGGGUCUUGUGCAGUUUAUGUGAGAUCGUCAAGUCUCUGGAUAACUGCAAUGAGGAAUGGCACCCUGUGGAGGGCAACAAUGCCUUGAGGUGAACGUCUCUCCCUCAGAGGAAGAAGAAGGAGGAGCCGGGAUGGAGGAUACAAUAAGAAAAGCUAAGCAUAAUGGCGGAAAAGAAAGAAGACAUUUUUUUUUUUUUUUUAAAUCUUAGAAAAAAAAGCUUUUGGUUGUACAAAUUUAUUGCGCCAACGCAAGAAAAUUUUUCCUGUGGUCGACAGGAAUGACGCCUUAGAUCAUGCAGGGAAAUAAAGGAUGACGCGCCGAGCCUUUGUUGCAAAGCUAUCGCCCCAAAAUGCCGGGGCCGUAUGGCGAGAUGCUCUCGGUCGCUUGCCGGCUGAUCGUCUGCCGACCAGGAACUGAGUAAAUGAUAUCCGGAAUCGUGAUGAGUGAACUCCCUCUGGAUCGCCUGGAAGCAGCAGAGCUUCAUCCCGAGCUUCCGCAGAAUGACAAUGGAGACGAAGAUUGUCCAUCUUGCAGUAAUUCAACACCCGCGAGUUGAACGUCUUUUAAGAUUGCGACAAAGUACGGAGGAGGAUCCGACAAUCGGCGUGUUUGGAGGAGAUCGCAAUCCACAGAGGUAUCAGGCACAACAAAACCAGAUCC